AAAGUCACAUUUCUGAGAAAAAAGUAUUUUUUCAGUGGCCCUUAUUCUCUUCCAUAUGUUAGAGAUGAAGCACCUGCUGUGAAAAAGCACCGCCUAAGCAAUCAACAUUCAUCAGAGCCUGACUUCUCAAAAGGCUCUUAAAAUGUAUCAGGAAAAACAACAUGAUAGAAGAAAAAAUCUUGAGUUCAUGAUAACGUAAAAAAAUCAACAUCGUUCAGCAUCUGUAUUUUUCUCUGAUGCUACAGCUAAGAGAACACUGGCAACCUACAUAAGGCCGUCUGACAUCAGUUUAUUGAGGAACAGACUGUCCUAAUCUGCUUCUUUCUGGACUUGACUCAACUUUCCGUGAUCAGACUCUGACCGAGGUUGUCAUGGAAAAAUUAUAAUUGCUGCAUCAUGGCUGAUGGGCUACAUUCCUGGACACAAGUGUGUGAUUCUCAGCCCCAAAAUUGUCUCAUCAAUCUUGUUUAUUGUUUUCAGUUGUUUCAGUGUUGCUCAUGACAAAUUACGUCUCCGGAUCCUUUACCAGCUCGGUGUUAAUUGAGAAAACAAUGAAGCAUUGAGAACAUUUAAACGAGCAAAAGCACUAAAACUACAUACCAAAUUUUAAACGUUGAUUUCUCACUUUGUUGGCUCCUAAAUCUUCAUGUGUCGGACUGAAUUCGCUAAUUUUUUGUUUGAUGUAGAGUUUUGGUAACAGAACAUGUGAUGUAAAGCAUUCCAUUUUGUUUAGGGACACAGUUGCAUCGUCGUCAUGAAAGAGUUAUGAAAAAGUUAAUUUAUCACUACAGGAUUUGAAAAGAGGAAAAGAAAGCAUUUCCGCCUUUUCUGGAGCAACUUUUUUAGAGAUUUUUUGAGCUUUAUGUCAGGUUUUAAAAAAAACAUACCUGCAUUGUUGCUUUAAUUCUUCCAUGCAUGUUUGAGGAAUUCUUCAAUCUCCCAUGGCAACCAUUCAGGGGUGACUAAGCGCUUGAUCUUACCAAGAGCUGCCUUUUCCAUACAACUCCCCCACUCAGCUCCUUCAGACUAGCCAGCAGCAAUUAGCAAACAACUGGUAGAACUGUUCAUCUGAGCUCAUUGUAGGAGACUUCUCAGUUCAGUGCUCUUAAAAACGGUUGUAACGGUGGAGAAGCAUUGUUGUGAUGACACGUGCUGAAGGCAGUGUCGGAAAGAAUAGGAGCUUCUUAAAGAGACAGACGUCCAAUAUUCAAGGCAUCACGUUGAAAAGCCAAAUUUGAUAUGUGCAGUACUUUUACAACAACUAAAGGUAACUGGAUUAAAAAAAAUGAUGUUCCUUGACUUACAAAAUAGCAGCCCUUUAAAAAAUGCUUUUGUUAGAAAUGUGGACUGUAGAAGUUGACAUUUGCGUUGUAGAUGUUGGUGCUGCUGCAACAUGUGYUGUGUUGAGGUGAUAUUUUAGUCUUUAGUAGCUCCSGUGACAGGCCUACUCCUAUCUGGAAAGUACAUAACAGCACUCCUUUAAAGUCAGAUUUGACUCCAUGUGAUUUUUGUGACAAUUGUGCAAGAUUUCAGUCUUGCUCAUUAGAUUCAUUUUUUAUCCAUAUCGUCCUAAAUUUAACCUAACAGUCACUGGGUGAGAGCCGGGUUACAACCCGGACCGGUUCCCAGUCUCAUUGGAUUAAGAUUAUCUUGUCAUUUUAAAAUACACAUAUAAUGCUGYGGAAAAAUUCUUGCAAUAAAUCUAUUUGUUUUUAUAGUCUGCCUCAUUGAAGCUGUAAAUGUAGAGGGAAAUUAAAAUGAAGAUGUUUUCAGAUGUGUAACCUUUGUUUUUAAAAAUGUUUUUUGUAGAAAGCUGAAUGAGUAAUGAUCAGGGAUAAAAACUUUUUCCGUUGAAUGUGUGUGUAUGUGUGUGUGUGUGCGUGUGUCUGUGACUCAGGAGAUCUCAAACUUCAUUGCAUGGAAAGCUAUCAGGCCGCAAUAAUCAAAAUAGCCACUCCGGCUCCACAGAGCCUUGGAAAACCAUUGUCAUUCAGCUCAGCUGCCCACAGCAACCACAAGAGUAACCUGAAACUGGAUAAGGCAGGAAGAAAACAAUACAUCAGUUCUGCGGAGAAAGACUGCACAGAACUGUUGAUGUUCCGUGUUUUCUGGGCUCAGAUUAAAUCACCCUAAAACCUGAGUUUUGGCUGUUUUGGGAAGAAAAUUUCAAAAGSAAAAAGAGAUUUUUAACAAUUAAAAAUCCUGCGAAAACAAAGGGCUAUAUCUGCAUUUCCAUUAGCCAUAAAAUUACGCAAAUUGAAAUUCUGAAUAUAAAUUUGCCUAAUGGAAACAUGGCAAUUUAGAAAAAGCUYACGUGUUUUGCUAAACAGUUUUUGCAUGAGGAUGUUGUGGUUUUUCAGCCGUAUUGAAAGCCUKUACUCCGUUGAGUGGAGUACCCUCAGCAGGUUAUGUUGUACARAGAAUUGGUGGAGUGGAAGUUUAAKUAAUAAACUUGUUUUAAGAGUUUAUAGCUGGAUUUAGUUGGAAAACUGUCCCUGGUUGAUGUUUCUAUGAAUAAUGAUUAGCAACAUUAGCCUGCUUGCUAGCAUUGCUACAGACUGGUCCCAGGUCUGAUCCACCUGCAGCCACAACCUCCAUUACCAGAAAGGGUUUUUAGUGUAUGUUAUCUCCUAUAUGGCAAGGAAAAGAGAUCCAGAGCUAUGAUAAGCGUAUAUAUUUUUGGCUUAGUAAAUUACUAGCGACUUAACAAGCUUGUCGUCUUUUUGUGCAGAYUGAUGUGUGAAACGGCAUCUCAUAGAGGAUGAAAUGUAGUUCACUCUCAGUGCGGUGGCAUAGUUCCAAACGGACUUGACUGAAGUUUAUUUUUACAUGCUCAAUGAAACUUUUCCAUCCUGUUAUUUCCAGCAGAUGAGUAGCAAUCUUCCUUUAAGGGCCUCUUUAACAGCUUUCCACUGAGCAAGAAGGAACCUGUAGCAUCCGACUCAUUCRAGCUCACACCAGAUGCUCGGGCUCUGCCCAAUUCUCUUCUAUCCACAGAGUURUGUGCUGGUGUACUGCUUUGUUUCCUCGUUUUUCUUCAUUUCCAGGGUGAGGCUGGCAGGUGCUGCUCCCAGCUAACACCCAUCAAAGCCCAUCAAGGAGCAUUAUUUAGAAGGGUGGCUUUCCUAAGGCACCAGAGUGUCCGUUCAUUCCCAAAGGAUCACUCCUGGUUUCCUGGACUUUGUUCAUUGGCUAAUGCUAUGUUUGUCAGAUUUUUUUUUGCCUGUAUCUGAUCUUUUCAUGACAGUCUGAACACAGAUUGGAAUUUUUACAAAUGCGACCCAGGCCACUUGGAUAUGUGAUCCUAAAUUCAAUCUGAUCUUUUUAAAUGUGACCAGAGUCUGUGUGGCCAGAUCACAUCUACCCAACCUGAAAGUCAUUGAUCCUCGACMAAAKUCACUWUCCUGUGUCCUGAGACGUGGAAGCGGGAAGAAAAGAAAUAACCAUGGAGGACGAUAAUGAUGACUAAGUUGGUCAACAACUUWAAAAUGGCAACAUGCUCUCCUUCAUUACCAUCCACUUUUUCUUCCGCAAACACUGAGCACACUAGCUACAUGACACCACRGUGUCCUCUACAGUGCAUGAGGGACACUUUGGUGAUCUUUCGUUCACACAGGAGAUCUCAUACAAGUCGCAUAUAUUUUGGAAUCGAGCGUUAGAUUCCUUGUCACUCUUCUCUACUGCUACUUCAGCAGAUAAUGUCUGCCUGUGGUUUCUGUUCAGCGGUGACCUUUCACCCCCCUUCAUCUGCUCCAGCAAAAAAUCAGCGAAUGUACAUCAUCAUCAACCAGCCAACCUCAACACCUGCAGAUWCACUUCCUUCUYGGAUCUCCUCCUCUUCACUGACAGAAAGAUCUCCCUCGCCUUWUUCCUCCACAAACAUUCUGCUCUCCCCUUAUCUGCAAUUAUUAAUGACUCACAUUUCUUCCAGUGCAGAUCCUGUUCAGGUCUCCUCCCCCACAGUCGACAAUCUCCAGAUWCUUCCCAACGUGACAAAUAACAUGACGUCAAACUGACACAAAGCAGGGKUUUUUUUUCUUUUUGGUUAACAUUAACAUGCAUAAACAUUACAAUUAAUGAGCCCUAGUGACAGCAAAAGGUAAAUGUCCUCCACUCUCCCAAUAACGGAGCCAUUUAUCACACGAUUGAUUGCAUUCCCUCCUUCACCUCGAAGGAAAGGCUUUAAAUGUAAUGUGGCCAAUAAACAAACCCAGCUGCACGGCCUCCCUUCAACUCGCACAAACUCUGCAGCUACCAGCACUCUGUUUCCUACCCAAACACUUGAACGUGUGGGGCCUUUUUUUUUCUUCCUCAAUCUCGCUCCCACCUAAGAAAUGUAAAACUGCCCAUACUGCAACCACAGAACAGCCAACAGCUUUUCAAAUACAAAAACAAUCCUGCGUCAUUACUGCAAUGCUCCAGCUCACAGCAGGCAAACAAUUCAAGGAAAAUUAUCAGAAWGUAAGUAACAUGAUCCAAAUAUGUCAAUUUGGAUCAAACUGGACAAAACAUAUGUCCACUCCACGCAGCAUUUGAGCGAGGGCUCAUGCCGACCUCAAGGUAUUUGCCGUGUGUUUAGUUGAGUGCUUACGGUGUUGCAUUUCAUUAUUAGCUGCUGCCCAUAGYUCAAAGGAAGCCAAAUGCUCUAUUGUCUAAGGACAACCAAAUAGGAAUCCUUCCAGCUUCAUUUCUGCUUUGUUUUCCCAACCGACCCCAGAGUAGCUUUACCAGGAACUCAGUGCAGUUAAUCAGGAAAGCAUGCUGACCCGAGUUCAUCAGUUGUUCACAGCUGGACGUUUUCUCCACCACUUUAACCUUUGUCUUUGAUGCUUACUUCAUAUUUACAUCUCAUUCUGAGACAUCUUACCCAUGUUAAGUUAAGCUAAGUUUAUUUGUAUAGCAUGUGUUARGAACAAGGCRGUUCAAAAUGCUUUAAAGYAUAAGGACAUAAUAUAGUAACCAAUUAUGAAAUAAGCAUCAAACGAUAGAUUUUGUCAAAUGUCAUCAUCAAAGUCAUCAAGAAUAAUAGCCAAAUGUAAUGAUCAAUGUUCCAGUUAUUAAAGGGGCAGUAUUGUAUGUUUUCCAGRCACAGAGUGCCGUUUUAUAGAACAAUCCAGCAUGUUGCCAUCACUUGUUAUGAAAAUGCUAUGUAUGUCAAAUAUAAAUUAAAAGAAAGUUUACUUCGUAAUUUARCACCUUGCAAUUGGGCCUCUGUCUCUUUAAAAACMGCUGCUCUUCCUGAAACUCCACCUUCAGGAAGUCAUUGCAACAUGGCUCCUCUAUUAACCCUUCAUGAACRUUUUUACCAGYGUAGCACGAAGAAGUAGCUCCUAUAAUGAGCUCAGCUGAUACACAGUUCCACCAGGCGUUUGCUAAUUGCUGCUUGCUAGUCUGCAGGAACUGAAUGGAGGAGUCACCGGGGGAUCGCUGCUCUGAGAGGCGGAAGCUUGGAUACUGUAGCUCUGAGGAGGAGCUUCAUCCUUGAAGGUGGAGUUUGGUCCCAUUCAGCAUUUUGCAGUGCUGAAUGGUUGCCAUGGGAGGUUAAAAGAUUUCUCAAACAUGCAUCAAAACAACACGCCAGGUACGUAUUUGAAGAGGGAAUAACAUUAUAACAUGAUGUAAAUCUCCAAAAAGUUUAUUGUACAUAAUACUGCCCCUUUAAUAACUAAUAAUCCUACUAAUACCAGUCUAGUUGGCAGAACAGUUUCUGGCAAUCUAUACAGAACUUGUGUUAUACUAUAUCCCUUCAUUUAGGGAAAGAAAGAAAAAAAAAUAGGGCGGUGUGGAGGGAGGCCAAAAGAGUGUGUGGCCUGGACAUCAUCUGCUUGYUUUCUGAAUGGACAGCUGUUCUGUCCGACUACACUAAGAAAGGUUACCAGAGUUUGCUGGAUGUUUUGAAGAACCCGCAAGAGAUCAUCUGAUCUCUUCAAGUUUGAUAUGAGUCAAAAACUUCCCUCAGCMAAUUUUUAUGUGAGGGAGCGUGUUUCCAUUUAAAACAGAAUGAGACGCCUGGCUAAAAGGGUUGUAAAGAYAAGCACUCUGCCUUUUAUCGAUGGGAGCUUAGAAAAUUCAGAAGAUGGGGUACCGAGCAGAGCUGAGCAAGGGUUAGUACCCACGUAGGAGCGCUCCAUACUUGGCUCCAAGAAUUAGAGARGCUUGGACACGACCAAACAUGUGGGUGUAGUUGCCUGGAGAUKGUUGACAUCUGUUGCAACAGUCAAUGAUGCUUGGAUCAUUUUUGUUUUUGCCAACCCAGCAGUGGUGUUGUGUACUUUAAACUYAUCUUAUAUUGUAAUAAACCCUCCUUUGAAAUUAUAGAGUAUGAAUGCACUUGCACGGCGACAUUUGGUGAGGAUCUGACUUCUCCAGAAUCGCAUGUACAAAUCCAAAAUUCAAUCAAAGUUUAUAUUUCAAAUUGGUCCUGAACUGAUUAAAGCCGUUAAUGAUGCCUUAAUCAAUUCCAUACAAUUUGAACUGAUUGAUGCACAUCACUCCACUGAAUGGGGGUAACUGAGGACAAAUUGUUGUUCUGUCUGAUUUUCCCUUUUCCUUUUCUUGUAUACUGCUGAGUUUCUGUUUUUCAGUCAUGCAGGGGUUUAGCAAUACGAGAAUGUCUUUGAUCAAUUGCCUUAUAGUAGCUUAACAGUCAAAGAGUUGCUCUAARCUCACCAACAGUACAUAGCUGCUUGUUCCUCAGAUAUGGCACUUCUGCUCUGUCUGCYGUGUCGAUUUUCACUUCCCCCAGYAGAAACAAUUCUGCCAAGAUAUSUUAAGAUAUACCAAYAGUAGAUAUCUGUGASUUUUUUAGUUUGAAAAAGUCACAUUUUCUUGGUUUGAGCUUAAUUCUAUGGUCUCUGAGACAUUGCAACAGCUUUCUGACAUCCUCAACAUGGCCCCCAAAAGUCCCGCUGAACAUAUCUCAUCCCGUAAUCCUUUCAGGCAWUGCUGCAUGCAUUGCUUGAAUGCAGCAGGUGCAUUCAUAAGGCAGAAUGGUAUACCAAUCCAUUUGCAAAGGCCCCAGGRGAUCACCAAGGUGGUCAGAUGUCUGCUCUCUUUGGACACAAACCUCUGCUGGUGUGCCUUACACUGGUCCAGUAGCAAAAAGAUAGUGUUUCCCCCCAGGAUCUCCAUCACAUCCUGCAGCUGGGGUAUAGGGUGUCUAUCUGGGUGUUUUGCAGUUCAGUUCCCUGUUAUCAAUACAUAAAUGCUGCAAACCGUCUUUCUUUCUUACACAGACAUCAGGAGACGAGCAGGAGGAAGUGGACCUUUCCAUCCAUCCUUCUGCUAUAAAUUUUUAGAAAGGUGCUUUUCCACUGGCAAGUUGCUCACUAACCAGUUAAUGUGUAGUUCAGUUCUACCCCAGGUAGUGAGCUUUUCCAUUAUACGGUCUGUUCCUCACUAUUGUUGGCGAAAGCUGUGGUCAACUCUCCUCUGAUGUUUGGAGUGAAACUCAGCAAUGAAAAACCUCCAGAUUCUGGUUCUGAAUCCUGUGCACUGGCUUUGGUACAGGAGAGAAGAGGAAGGUCAACAGGAGGGUCUCACUGAUGGGGGUCCAUCCUGUGUGCGGCUCGUAUUGCCGGCAGUGAACAGACUCAGCCGACUGCACAGUACCAGUAAUCUCCCAGAUGGUAAAAUUUCAUGCUCGGAGUCGCGGUUUAAGCAGAGAGGUAAUGAAAUG